ACCUGCCAGCCCAGUGGGACAGCAGAGGCCAAGUGCACAGGGGUGGGGAAGGGAGAGCCGAGCGUCCACCUUCACAUCCCACGAGGGCAGGGCACGGAGGGAAGCUGGGAGCUGAUCGAGAGCCCCGAGCCAAGAGCAGCCGGACUCCUCCCCAGACCUGUGGAGACAAGCCUGGUGAGCCCCAGGGGGCCAGAGCCGAGCUGAUGGCAGACACACGUGGGGGACACCCCAGCGCCUGGCUGCAGACCCCCGGGGCCUCAGAACAUGUCUAGCGCCAGGAUCAGGAAUCAACUCAGCCCAAGUCAACUAACCCUGCCCCCCACUCUCCAACCGUCAGGACAACUCUUUCUCCUCUGGAUGGACGGUCCCUUUCCCCCCGCCUACUUUCCAGGAGGAGGAGGCGACAAUCAGGCAGGAGUGCCCGCCCACAGGAGGACUCCAGAAUCAUCGAAGCUGAGAUUUAAAGAGGCCCCUUCCAGCCCUCCCCGGCUGAACAGAACCGAGGAGCGCUCCCUGUGAACAGA